UACGUAGGGUGCGAGCGUUGUCCGGAAUUAUUGGGCGUAAAGCGCGCGUAGGCGGUUUUUUAAGUCUGAUGUGAAAGCCCACGGCUCAACCGUGGAGGGUCAUUGGAAACUGGAAAACUUGAGUGCAGAAGAGGAAAGUGGAAAUUCCAUGUGUAGCGGUGAAAUGCGCAGAGAUAUGGAGGAACACCAGUGGCGAAGGCGACUUUCUGGUCUGUAACUGACGCUGAUGUGCGAAAGCGUGGGGAUCAAACAGG
rnacentral:rRNA from 1 species